rnacentral:rRNA from 1 species
GACGAACGCUGGCGGCGUGCUUAACACAUGCAAGUCGAACGAAGUGGCGAACGGGUGAGUAACGCGUAAUCAACCUGCCCUUCAGGGGGGGACAACAGUUGGAAACGACUGCUAAUACCGCAUACUGAAGGAGGGGAUUGCGUCUGAUUGGCUAGUUGGGGGGGUAACGGGCCACCAAGGCGAUGUUCAGUAGCCGGUCUGGGAGGAUGAGCGGCCACAUUGGGACUGAGACACGGCCCAUACUCCUACGGGAGGCAGCAGUGGGGGAUCUUCCGCAAUGGACGAAAGUCUGACGGAGCAACGCCGCGUGAGUGAUGACGGCCUUCGGGUUGUAAAGCUCUGUUAAUCGGGACGCGGUACCGGAAUAGAAAGCCACGGCUAACUACGUGCCAGCAGCCGCGGUAAUUC